GGUCUCAUCGUCUAACGGUUAGGACAGGGGACUUUCAAUCCUCCAAUCGGGGUUCGAUUCCCCGUGGGACCG
rnacentral:tRNA from 2 species